rnacentral:snoRNA from 1 species
CUCCGGAAUGAUAACUGGAUGGCUUGUCGGUAUUAUCUGUCCCUUGCUGUCUUUUAAUUUUCCGGGAGAACAAUGCUUCUUUGGAAAUGCUUCUUACACAGUGCUAGGCUUGAUUUUUUUCAAAAAAAUUAACUUAUGCUUUCCAACUGUUUACUUUUCCUCGACAUCU